rnacentral:tRNA from 1 species
GUCUGGCCGAACGGUCUAAGGCGCUAGACUCAAGACCUAGUCUCGAAUGAGGCGCGUGUUCGAAUCACGCUUCAGUUCAAACU